rnacentral:rRNA from 1 species
UACGUAGGGGGCAAGCGUUGUCCGGAAUCAUUGGGCGUAAAGAGCGCGUAGGCGGCCCUGUAAGUCCGCUGUGAAAGUCAAGGGCUCAACCCUUGGAUGCCGGUGGAUACUGCAGGGCUAGAGUCCGGAAGAGGCGAGUGGAAUUCCUGGUGUAGCGGUGAAAUGCGCAGAUAUCAGGAGGAACACCGAUGGCGAAGGCAGCUCGCUGGGACGGUACUGACGCUGAGGCACGAAAGCGUGGGGAGCAAACAGG